AAACUUUCAACAACGGAUCUCUUGGUUCUGGCAUCGAUGAAGAACGCAGCGAAAUGCGAUAAGUAAUGUGAAUUGCAGAAUUCAGUGAAUCAUCGAAUCUUUGAACGCACAUUGCGCCCCUCGGUAUUCCGGGGGGCAUGCUUGUUCGAGCGUCAUU
rnacentral:rRNA from 1 species